rnacentral:rRNA from 1 species
AGUGAACGCUGGCGGUAGGCCUAACACAUGCAAGUCGAACGGCAGCACAGGAGAGCUUGCUCUCUGGGUGGCGAGUGGCGGACGGGUGAGGAAUACAUCGGAAUCUACUCUGUCGUGGGGGAUAACGUAGGGAAACUUACGCUAAUACCGCAUACGACCUACGGGUGAAAGCAGGGGAUCUUCGGACCUUGCGCGAUUGAAUGAGCCGAUGUCGGAUUAGCUAGUUGGCGGGGUAAAGGCCCACCAAGGCGACGAUCCGUAGCUGGUCUGAGAGGAUGAUCAGCCACACUGGAGCGGAGACACGGUCCAGACGCCUACGGGAGGCAGCAGUGGGGAAUAUUGGACAAUGGGCGCAAGCCUGAUCCAGCCAUACCGCGUGGGUGAAGAAGGCCUUCGGGUUGUAAAGCCCUUUUGUUGGGAAAGAAAUCCAGCUGGCUAAUACCCGGUUGGGAUGACGGUACCCAAAGAAUAAGCACCGGCUAACUUCGUGCCAGCCGCCGCCGUAA